AUGUACAGUUGCAGCUGCAAGGAAAUGAGUAGGGAUGGCAUUCAGUGCUGCCAUGUGCUUAAGGUGAUGGACCAAACAGGCAUGAUCGAUCAACUUCCAAAAUCCUUUGUCAUCCCCAGAUGGACCAGGAAUCUAUCAGAGAGUGUGAAAGUUCUGUCUACAAGUCAAGAAAACAGAAGGCAUAUCGUGUGCUGCGUGAGUGUACGGUAG
rnacentral:rRNA from 1 species